rnacentral:tmRNA from 1 species
GGGGGCGAACGGUUUCGACGGGGUUCGCAGGCUUAGGGAAGCAGGCAGGGUGGCAACCUUAACAGCCACUCAAAACACUUCCCGAGCGCGAACUCGCUCUCGCUGCCUAAUAUCCGCAGCGGCCCACUGAUGGCUUGGCGGGUGGGCUGUCAGAUGGGUUCAUAGACACCCGCUAGGAGGGAAGGAUUGGCGUGGUCCUCCCUCCGAAAGGGCACACGCCUCGCCAUCCCUUUGCUUGCCAGUGGGCGGGGGAUGGUUAAAGGAAAGCACUGGCUAAGCCUGUAGAAGCCCUAACAGCCGGGCGAACCUCGGACGAGGGUUCGAUUCCCUCCGCCUCCACCA